rnacentral:lncRNA from 1 species
CAGGAGGCUGUAUGGGUGGCUUAGAGCUCCCAAACACCCCACUUACAGCCCACACAGACAAGGGCCUGGUCAGAAUACUCUAGGGAGAGUUCAAUUCCAAAGACACUGGGCUGCCGUCUGUCUCCAGUAUCGUGGUAUCGUGGUAACUUUUGCGUACCUGUUACAAAAUGCUGUGGGCACCUUGGUCGGGACUGGGAAAAUAACCUUGACUGUCAGAGACAAAUCGCAGCCUCCUAACCCUUCGCCGCAGCGAGCCGCCUGACUGCCGGUGGCAGGAGGUGACCCGGAGGCGGCAGACAGCGAGGCGGCCAGGCCAUGCGCGCGGUCGCGGGCCACUCGGGGGCCUAACUGUCACCGGGCAGGGCCUCCUGGGAGCCGUGGCUGGUG